UUCACAGGUCUGCAGUGUGCUGUUAAACACUGUUGUACUUUUACCCACUAAUAUUAAUAUUAUUGCAUUUCAGACUAAAGGGUUCUGGAGCAAUUGUUGAGAAGCUAUCUCAAGCAUUUUGAGAUCUACUGAGGAAAAGCACUAUGUAAUAACUAGACAGCAUAUCCCCGGGUCAGAGGCAUUCAGCAUUCCAAAAGAGUCCUCUACCACUUGACAAUGACUUCAGACCUGUGACCAACUGCUGAAGGAAAGAAUUCAGUUUGUUUUGUUUCUUAUAAGCUGUAUACUAACACAAUUCUAAGACCAUUCCUGAAUGUUGUUAGAUGUUAAUAAA